GGAGUUUGCAGCAUCUGGAAUUCGGCUGGGGAAUAUAUAGUGAGUCAAGGGACUAGGGUUACCGGGAGGCAUAAAAGAGAUGAGGAAAGGCCAAUGUAGAGAGUUUUUGUUAAGGUCUUGUUACACCUGAAAAACGUUCCUCGUGGGGCUGUUAUAUUAGUGGUUACCCGUAUAGUUCUGUUACAGCUAGGGAAGUUUCGGCCUAGGGAAUGUGGGGUUUGGUAGGGAAUACUCGGGGUCCCAUCGAUUCCCAUGACUAAGACCUGGGAAGGGGUGAGAUGACCAGAAUAAGAAGGAAGAGCGGAGUAGGUAGCCCCCAUGUCUUGUGACCCUAGGCUCGGUGAGGGUAACCGGAGUCGGAAAGCCAGGGCCCCGCUAGUCAUCUAGCAGCCCUAGUAGACUGGGGAACGGAGCUCCCUCGGAGGUCGGCUCCUGGCAAGCAGGCUCCUCCCUACUGAGGGUGACCGCCGGCUGCGUAACGCCAGUGUGUCUGUUUUGAGGAACCGGCACCCUGGGGAAGCUGGGGCAGUCUGACUUCCAGUGUCCCGGGAGCCAACAGAUAGGGCAAGGCUUAGUUGGUGGCCAUGGUUGUGGACAGGCUCGGGACCAGUGUCCUUCCUUUCCACAUUUGAAACAUGCCCCUGGAGGGGCAUGGGUUUCGGCCUUGGGCUUCUGGUUCCCUGCCGGCCUUAGAGCCGCCACUAGGGCUUGGGUCUGGAGGGCAGCCUUCUGCUUCAUGCGAGUUUGGCGGGCAGCCUCAGCCGCAUCUUCCCUGGCAUUGAAUACUUUAAAGGCCAUUUUUACCAGGUCUUGGAUGGGAGUCUCUGGCCCCUCUUCUGCUUUCUUUAGUUUCUUUCUUAUGUCGGGUGCUGAUUGGGAGAUAAAGUGGGAGGCUAAUACAGUGGCCCCGUUUUGGGAGCUGGAUCUAGUCGAGUGUACCGGACUAGGGCUUCUUAUGUUUGAGUGAGGUAUUGGAAUUCUUUAAUAUAGGUGGACGGGUUGGCUGAGAAGGAUCCUAAACGUUGCUCAAUUUGGGACAGGUCUUGGAGUGAGAAAGGAACAUGGACCCUGAUUAAACCUUCUGCGCCUGCUACUUCUCGGAGUGGGGCCAGGAUAGCUGGCUGGUGGGAGCGGGUGUGGGCCGCCACCGGAGAGGCAAGAGGAAGUGCAGCCUCUGAGGGAGGGGGCUCAGAGGGAGUAGAGGGAGAGCGAGGCAUGGCCUCUGAGGUAGGAGGUGCAGAGGGAGUGGGGGAAGGGCGUGCCGUUGAUGGCGAGUGGUUGCUGAGAUUGGCAGGAGAGGACAGAUGUUCAGGCAGAUCCUCCGGUGAGGAGUAGGGAGGGGGAGAGGUAGUGGAGGAAGAUUUACGGGGGGUUCGAGAUAAGAGGAUUUGGUAGGUGGAGCAGGAAGAACAUAGGUUGGGGUGGGUACGGAGGUCCCAAAAAGCCUGGACGUAAGGAAUUUCAUUGUCCUUGCCCAUGCGGCGACAAAAAUCGUCGAGAUCUCGGAGGGUGUUGAAAUCAAAAGUGCCAGUCGGGGGCCAAUGUGACUGGUUACCGAGUUUGUAUUGGGGCCAAGCCACCUGAGACAGGAAGAUAAGCUUUUUCUUUCUGAGGGUUUGGGAAUAUCCCAAUUUGGUAAAAUUCGCAGCAAGCACCCAAGGGGGGUGCUCAGAGGUAUUUUGGACUCCGAAUUUCCCAUGGCAGGCACAGCUACAGACUCUCCGGCGCGGAUGGGCAGAUGCAACGAAAAGGCGUCCCCGUUCGUUGCAAAUUCCCCGGAGUACAAUUAAGUACGGAAAGGGAAGCGGUCAGAGGGGCGUCCCCCGUCUGGCGGCUGUCCCUCGGAAGGCUCCUGGAGCCGGAAUGGAAGACUACCUUGGCUCGGCCGAGACUAGGCAAGGAGUCCGUGCGGAACACCGGAGAGGGAGCAACUGCACCGUGCCGUAGGAAGAGGAGACGGGAAGCAGGGGAAGGCAAAGCAAGAAAAACUUGGCUUACCUUAAUCGGAACGUGGAGGUGGCAGGGCCAGUGUUGGCACCGAGCGUCUGUUUACAACAAAUUUGGUGACCAUGAAGGGACCCAUUCCCCUCCAGGGUGGUCUCUGGUCCUCUCUCUUGUGAGGAGGCACCCCCACUGCCUCGUUGGGGCAACAGCAACCGGAAGCCUCUCAACAACAGCAACCGGAAGUCUCUCACAAUCAGCCGCUGUGCCAGGCACUGGGCUACCCAACCACAGGUCUGAGAAUUGCCUUUCCAAGCCCGUGGAAUUUUGUUCAGCCAGCUACUGCCAGUUAUUUCUCCUUCUUUGCUUCCAAGGUAGCAGAAACCCAGGAGAAAAUAUGUCACACCUAAAAAUGUGUUUUCUUUACGGAUUUCCCUAGAAGGCUGCCAGCCUGGGCAGUGGGUGAGAAGCCGCUCUGCUGGUUUACACAUAGCAGGCCCAGUGCCCUGCAGGCUCAGCGGGGAGCUCUGGCCCUGACCCAGCCGAAUCUUACCCAUGCAGGUGGCGGAUCAGAGGACUUUCUGCAACUAGGAAAACAACUCAAAGGUCAGCUCUUCCCAGCAGUGAAUAAACACUGACAUCCCAAGUUCUGAGAGAGGCCCACGGAGGUGGCCUCUCCCCUAGUGAGAAGUCUUCCAUGGCUACUUAUUGAUUAUUGGUCUGGGGGCUUCUGGACUUCAAAGACAAGUUGGAUUAAUCUCUGUAUCCUGGUGCCCGGCUCAGUGCCUGGCACGUGGGUGGUGUUCGUUGAGUUGACAUCAGGGCCUGUCUCUUCUAGUGUUUUUCAUCACCUCUGCAAAGAGGUAACCUCUCCUGGGCUUCAUUCCUUCGGAUUUGAACCUUACCUCUCUGAAGGAUGGUGGGCUAUCCUUUGGCAGGAUCCACACUGUGCAUCCAGGAAAACACACCAGAUGAGGAACUCUUGAUGACUGGUUCACACUAAUACUGAAAGCUUAUUCCAGAAAAUUUAGAAAAUAAAGAUGACUAAUAAAAGAUGAUAAAAAUUCUCUUCCCCCUCCCCUUCCUGCUCUAACAGAACUGUUACACUGCCCUGCAGCCACCUCAGGUGGGGAAUGUUGUGUCUCCUGGAAUAAAUGUCCCUCCACUUUCAGGCCAGUCUGACACGAGUGUGUCAGACUUUAGGUGGGACUUCAUUGAUCGGCUGGCCUCCACAGCCCCUCAGUCUAGCAAGGAGACCACUAUGAAGCUUUGGGUCUCCAGGUGUCUGUUUCAACUCAGAUGCUACAUCGAGUAGUGUGGUGUUCGCGCCAAAAGCUCGAGACAGUUAGUUGAUUCGUCUCAGUUUGGCUGCUGGACCUGUACUGCAUUUCCUUACCUCGAGGGCUGUCGAGUGAGACAGGGCCGGAAGCUGACUCACUAAAAGCAACAACAGAAUGCAAAGCAAAGGCCUGCAGUUUAUGAGGACAUUGUGCUGUCUGCUUCCAUGUCCCCCUUCAGUCUCUGUGUAAGCAAUAAACUUGCUGCAAUUGAAAUGUCUAAGAAGAGCAGAGACCUCUGCCCAUAUUUUCCCUGGAGCCAAGCCUUUGUUCUAGUUCCUGAUGCAAAACAGGUUUAACCAGCCACCUUAAGGGCGCCAUUGUAUCUUUAGAAUGUAAAAUCAUCGAAAUGUAAACUACUACCAUUAGCCCCCUUAAACUGCUUCCUGAGCAGGAUAUCAAGCCCCGGAUAUCUAUUUUAUGGAGUUUUUGUUUCCUUUCUGUUUUCCCCUUUGUUUCUUUCUGCUGAGAUGACGUAAAUGUAAACAAGACAAAAGGUAUAAAAGCUGUAACCCACAAAAAUAAAUUUGCUGCGUUUUGGCCAUAAUCUUCACGCAGCCCUCCAGACUCUA